rnacentral:rRNA from 1 species
CCAAUAGCGUAUAUUAAAGUUGUUGCAGUUAAAAAGCUCGUAGUUGAAUUUCGGGAUCAAUGCGUCGGUCGUGCCUUCGGUACGUACUAGCGCCAUUGAUUCCUCCCUCCUGAAGAACCGUGAUGUCAUUAGUUUGGUGUUACGGGGAAUCAGGACUGUUACCUUGAAAAAAUUAGAGUGUUUAAAGCAGGCUAACGCUUGAAUACAUUAGCAUGGAAUAAUGAAAUAGGACGUUCGAACCUAUUUUGUUGGUUUCUAGGAUCGACGUAAUGAUUAAUAGGGAUAGUUGGGGGCAUCAGUAUUCAAUUGUCAGAGGUGAAAUUCUUGGAUUUAUUGAAGACUGACUACUGCGAAAGCAUUUGCCAAGGAUGUUUUCAUUAAUCAAGAACGAAAGUUAGGGGAUCGAAGACGAUCAGAUACCGUCGUAGUCUUAACCAUAAACUAUGCCGACUAGGGAUCGGAUGAUGUUAAUUUUUUAAUGACUCAUUCGGCGCCUUACG